rnacentral:rRNA from 1 species
UACGUAGGGUGCAAGCGUUGUCCGGAAUUAUUGGGCGUAAAGAGCUCGUAGGCGGUUUGUCGCGUCUGCUGUGAAAACCCGAGGCUCAACCUCGGGCCUGCAGUGGGUACGGGCAGACUAGAGUGCGGUAGGGGAGACUGGAAUUCCUGGUGUAGCGGUGGAAUGCGCAGAUAUCAGGAGGAACACCAAUGGCGAAGGCAGAUCUCUGGGCCGUAACUGACGCUGGAGGAGCGAAAGCAUGGGGAGCGAACAGG